UACGGAGGGGGCUAGCGUUAUUCGGAAUUAUUGGGCGUAAAGGGCGCGUAGGCGGCCCGGUAAGUCAAAGGUGAAAUCCCUCGGCUCAACUGAGGAACUGCCUUUGAAACUGUCGGGCUUGAGGCCGGGAGGGGGUAGCGGAAUUCCCAGUGUAGCGGUGAAAUGCGCAGAUAUCAGGAGGAACACCAGCGGCGAAGGCGCUGCUCUGGGCCGGUACUGACGCUGAGGCGCGAAAGCGUGGGGAGCAAACAGG
rnacentral:rRNA from 1 species